CAAUAGUUCCUGGUUGAAGUCGAUCUCGUAAUUUUGUUUCUGUGCGAAUAUCAGACCCAUGGAGACGGACACAACGUAGGACACCAUUGCGAUUGUGAAGCUGUCCAGCACCAAUGAUCGAAGCAGAUCGAAAUCUGGUAUUAAACUCACUCACCAGGAAAUCCUGUGGGAAUAUGUCCAAUAGUUUUGAUGGCAUACUGGGAGCUUAAAUUUAGGUAUUUCGAGAUCAAUGUCCCUCCGAUGACUGCCAUGAGUUCGAUCGGAAUUGGAACUUUGCUGUGCUUGACAAGCUUCGGCUACCCAUUCCCGAAUGGUUUAGAAAAGGUUUCAAAAAUAUAAUAAGAAGAGAAAUGAUUACUUAGUGCAAUUUAGAUUAUUUUGCUGGUCAAACCGCUGAAAAAAUGGUUACUGUGCAAAUGAUAACAAAAAAAAUUAACCCAUAUUUGAGUUCCGACAGGCAUACCUUGAGAUAUUCAUUAUUUAUCACCAGUAGCACUAUAGUGACGGAUGAUAUCAGGAUGGCUGCGCAGUUCACUCUGGUGAUAUCCGAGAAUAUGGCAAUGUACGUCUGAUAUGAGAUGCAAUAGAGAUAACUGUUUCCACUAAUGGGAGGCAAGGAGAGCCCAAACAAAUCUUUAAUCUGUGAAGAUAGUACAUGGAUAGCAGCUCCCGUUGUAAAUCCCGAAACCAGGGUGUCCGAGAGUAGGAACGAAAUAACACCCAAACGGCAUACAUACAUUAUCAGCUGUUAUUUCAAUAGAUGAGACGAAACAGGAGAAAUGAUUAAUAGUUUUUAUGGUUAUUUGUUUGAUAAUCUAGAACCAGUAUCAAUAGUGAAAUAAAAUAAAAUUCAGAUCGUUGAAACAAUUUAGGGCAAGACAAGUGAGACAAGACAACCAAGAUAAAGCAUGUAGCAUCAUGACUCAUCAAUUAUAUAACAACUAGACAUCUUUAAUCUGCAUCAACAUGUACUUUCGUAAUCAAAAAUCAAAUCUGCUAAAUCAACGUGAAUAUUCGAAGCGAAUACACUAGUUAACACAUGGGCUGAAAAGUCCCGGGCCUAACACAUGGAUGGAGCUAAUUUUAUUGCAGUCACCUUUUUUUCAGUUAAUAAUAACCUUUAAAAGACAGCUGUUAAAAUUUCAUGAUAUUCUAUUCAUUAGUUUGUGUGUUAUUGUGCUAAGAGUGACACUACUUUUGUUAUUUUCAGAACAAUGAAUCAAAAAGUUAUUGGAGCAUUUGAAGGCUGAAAUUGCCAAGAAAAAAAUUUCGUUUCAUCAAGACAACGCACCGUGUCACAAGUCAAUCAAAACAAUGACAAAACUACACGAAUUGAACUUUGAUUUGCUCCCACAUCCACCGUAUUCACCAGAUUUGGCUCUCGGUGAUUACUGGCUGUUUGCAGACCUGGAAAACCGCUCGCUGGGACGAAAUUUCGCACGAAUGAAGAGGUUAUCGCUGAAACUGAGGCCUAUUUUGAGCAUCAUCAACGUGCACUGCCCACAUGAGACGAGACACGAACUCGUCAUCGGCGACAUGAAUGCUCAGGUAGGCCGGGAGGCAAUGUACAUCCCGUGAUCGGGCUGGAGAGCCUGCACGCGGUAACAAACGACAACGGUCAACGAUGCGUAAACUUUGCAGCCUCCCGAGGAAUGGUAGUUCGAAGCACCUUCUUCCCCCGCAAAGAUAUCCACAAAGCCACCUGGAGAUCACCUGAUCAACAUACGGAAAAUCAAAUCGACCACGUUCUCAUCGACGGGCGAUUCUUCUCCGACGUCAUCAAUGUCCUCAAUGACCGCAGUGCCAAUAUUGAUUCUGACCACUACCUUGUCGCGGUUUGUAUGCGCACAAAACUAUCGACGGUGCACAAUACUCGUCGCACAAGAACGCCGGGACUCGAUCUCGAGCAGCUACGUAGCAUUCGUACUGCAGAGGAAUACGCGCAACAACUGGAGUUAGUGCUACCAACGGAAGAGCAGCUUAGCGCGGCGACUCUUGAAGACGGCUGGAGGAACAUAAGGUACACCGUGAGUAGUACUGCUGCAACCGUUCUAGCAUCUAGAAAAAAAUGGCAUUCGGUUCAACGGUCUGUUUCAAAAUCGGUAAACGAAGGUCCCGUGUUGGCCUCCCGUUGAACGAUUGAUUGGACUUUCAUUGAACCAAUGAUCCAACGUAUUGGACCAAUGAAGGACCACCGUUGAACGUUUUUUUCUAAGAGGGCGCUGCAGACAUGUGAUUUCCGUACAAUAAUUUCUGUACAACGUUGUACGCGUACAACGAUGAGGUGACAGACAUGUUUUGCACACAUGAAUAUACUGUGAAACGUAACAACUCAAAAUUUAGCUUAAUAUCCCAGCUCCGAUGAUCGAUAAUAUAGAAACCAAAAACUUUUUUAUGACAGAUAUAAUCAAUAUCUUUCUUAGCUAUUAAACUAUUUGUGUUGUUACCGUUCCUUUGGAACGUUUAACAUUGGAGAAAU